UACGGAGGAUGCAAGCGUUAUCCGGAUUUAUUGGGUUUGAAGGGUGCGUAGGCGGGAAGAUAAGUCAGUGGUGAAAUCCUGCAGCUUAACUGUAGAAUUGCCGUUGAUACUAUUUUCUUGAGUGUGGUCAAGGAAGGCGGAAUGUGUAAUGUAGCGGUGAAAUGCUUAGAUAUUACACAGAACACCGAUUGCGAAGGCAGCUUUCUGGGCCGUUACUGACGCUGAUGCACGAAAGCGUGGGGAUCGAACAGGAUUAGAUA
rnacentral:rRNA from 1 species